CCCCUCAUAGCUCAGUUUGGUUAGAGCGUAUCUCUGAUAAAGAUAAGGUCCGUAGUUCAAGUCUACGUGAGGGGACCG
rnacentral:tRNA from 1 species